rnacentral:rRNA from 1 species
UUCCAGGCAAAUCCGGAAAACUAAGGCUGAGGCGUGAUGACGAGGCACUACGGUGCUGAAGCAACAAAUGCCCUGCUUCCAGGAAAAGCCUCUAAGCAUCAGGUAACAUCAAAUCGUACCCCAAACCGACACAGGUGGUCAGGUAGAGAAUACCAAGGCGCUUGAGAGAACUCGGGUGAAGGAACUAGGCAAAAUGGUGCCGUAACUUCGGGAGAAGGCACGCUGAUAUGUAGGUGAAGUCCCUCGCGGAUGGAGCUGAAAUCAGUCGAAGAUACCAGCUGGCUGCAACUGUUUAUUAAAAACACAGCACUGUGCAAACACGAAAGUGGACGUAUACGGUGUGACGCCUGCCCGGUGCCGGAAGGUUAAUUGAUGGGGUCAGCGCAAGCGAAGCUCUUGAUCGAAGCCCCGGUAAACGGCGGCCGUAACUAUAACGGUCCUAAGGUAGCGAAAUUCCUUGUCGGGUAAGUUCCGACCUGCACGAAUGGCGUAAUGAUGGCCAGGCUGUCUCCACCCGAGACUCAGUGAAAUUGAACUCGCUGUGAAGAUGCAGUGUACCCGCGGCAAGACGGAAAGACCCCGUGAACCUUUACUAUAGCUUGACACUGAACAUUGAGCCUUGAUGUGUAGGAUAGGUGGGAGGCUUUGAAGUGUGGACGCCAGUCUGCAUGGAGCCGACCUUGAAAUACCACCCUUUAAUGUUUGAUGUUCUAACGUUGACCCGUAAUCCGGGUUGCGGACAGUGUCUGGUGGGUAGUUUGACUGGGGCGGUCUCCUCCUAAAGAGUAACGGAGGAGCACGAAGGUUGGCUAAUCCUGGUCGGACAUCAGGAGGUUAGUGCAAUGGCAUAAGCCAGCUUGACUGCGAGCGUGACGGCGCGAGCAGGUGCGAAAGCAGGUCAUAGUGAUCCGGUGGUUCUGAAUGGAAGGGCCAUCGCUCAACGGAUAAAAGGUACUCCGGGGAUAACAGGCUGAUACCGCCCAAGAGUUCAUAUCGACGGCGGUGUUUGGCACCUCGAUGUCGGCUCAUCACAUCCUGGGGCUGAAGUAGGUCCCAAGGGUAUGGCUGUUCGCCAUUUAAAGUGGUACGCGAGCUGGGUUUAGAACGUCGUGAGACAGUUCGGUCCCUAUCUGCCGUGGGCGCUGGAGAACUGAGGGGGGCUGCUCCUAGUACGAGAGGACCGGAGUGGACGCAUCACUGGUGUUCGGGUUGUCAUGCCAAUGGCACUGCCCGGUAGCUAAAUGCGGAAGAGAUAAGUGCUGAAAGCAUCUAAGCACGAAACUUGCCCCGAGAUGAGUUCUCCCUGACUCCUUGAGAGUCCUGAAGGAACGUUGAAG